GACGAACGCUGGCGGCGUGCUUAACACAUGCAAGUCGAACGGAAAGGCCUUUUCGGAGGUACUCGAGUGGCGAACGGGUGAGUAACACGUGGGUGAUCUGCCCUGCACUCUGGGAUAAGCCUGGGAAACUGGGUCUAAUACCGGAUAGGACCGCACUUUAGUGUGUGUGGUGGAAAGUUUUUUCGGUGUAGGAUGAGCCCGCGGCCUAUCAGCUUGUUGGUGGGGUAAUGGCCUACCAAGGCGGCGACGGGUAGCCGGACUGAGAGGUUGGUCGGACACAUUGGGACUGAGAUACGGCCCAGACUCCUACGGGAGGCAGCAGUGGGGAAUAUUGCACAAUGGGCGCAAGCCUGAUGCAGCGACGCCGCGUGGGGGAUGACGGCCUUCGGGUUGUAAACUCCUUUCGCCAGGGACGAAGCGUUUUGUGACGGUACCUGGAGAAGAAGCACCGGCUAACUACGUG
rnacentral:rRNA from 1 species